ACCUACGGGAGGCAGCAGUAGGGAAUCUUCCACAAUGGGCGAAAGCCUGAUGGAGCAACGCCGCGUGGGUGAAGAAGGUCUUCGGAUCGUAAAACCCUGUUGUUAGAGAAGAAAGUGCGUGAGAGUAACUGUUCACGUUUCGACGGUAUCUAACCAGAAAGCCACGGCUAACUACGUGCCAGCAGCCGCGGUAAUACGUAGGUGGCAAGCGUUAUCCGGAUUUAUUGGGUGUAAAGGGAGCGCAGGCGGUCUGGCAAGUCUGAUGUGAAAUACCGGGGCUCAACUCCGGGACUGCAUUGGAAACU
rnacentral:rRNA from 1 species